CUCAAGACGAACAAAAAGGGUUUAACUGUCAUAAUGGAUAUCCAUCAUAAAAAGGCCCCAUAGCGCCCCCUUCAAAAUUUCAAAACGUAAACCCGCUCCUGCGGUCCAGACAAGUGGAUUCAAUGACACUUAUCUUGAACCCCAAGAGGAAAAGAAAUGGGUGCCAAUGUAAAAAUUGGGGACCCAUCAAAAAAUUCCUUCAUUUCUCCCUCUACAAAAUUUCAAAAUGUAAGUUCAGCUCCUGUGUUUGACCUAAACCGAGGGAUUCAAUGACACCUACGUUGGACUCAAAGUUAAACAAAAAGUUUUCCACUGUCAAAAUGGAUUUCCAACAAAAAUGUGGUCAUAGCGCCCUCUACAAAAAUUUCAGGACUCAGUGCUGUAUUUGAAGUCUGGUGUAUACCCUGUCAAUAGGAAUGGAGCCAGGACCGUCCGUUGUGGAACCCCUGUACUUCUCAAUAAGGCCCAGAAACACAGUUCCCCAGCGUGAAGAACUGUGUGAUUCCUGUCAGGCAAUUUGUGAUCCAGGAAACACAGGUAGGAUCCACGCCCAUCUCUGUGGGCUUGUCUUUUAGUAUGAUCGGUUGGAUGGUGUUGAACGUUAUGGUGACCUGUUGUUAUGAUGACCUGUCAGUUCAUUGACCUAUUGUUAUAAGUGGUAUCAUAAAAAAAUAAGACCAUCUUAAGAAGAGAGACUGAUUUUUAUUAGAAAACAUAACCUGAAACUGGAUAUCUCUUGCAGGGUUUUAUAGUCUUGAAUAUGUAAAGGAUUCGUAAUAUCAUUGACUUUGAAACCAUUUAAGUUUUUUUUGUAGGAUCAGAUUAACAAAAAACAACUGGCACUCUCAUGAUCACUUCUAAUUGUACAGGAAAAAGUGAAAUAUUGCAAAAAGUAUAAAUGGUAGAAAGGUGAAAAGUUCACCCCACUAGAUGGUGCUGUCAUAUCAUAAUCAAAAAUUACUAUGGUUACAUUCUGACUGUAAACUUCUUUUGAGUACUUCCACAUUCCACGGGGAGGUUGUAAUACAUACAUUUUUAGGCAUUUGUCUAUCCGAAGCACCUCGACUGAUCAUUUUUCCUUGUAAUGCACAUAAGACAUACAAUUUUAGCAAUUUUUUUUUAUUUUUACCUUCAUCCAAGUAUUUUAGCUUCAGCUCUGUAAUAUUUUCUACAUUUUUAUGUGGGGAAGUCACUGAAGCACACCACUAGAUGGUGCUGUUUUUCCAUUAUUACAAAUGAGUCUCAUCACCCUGUGAUGAAGAAAAUGUCAAGAUGGAGAACCAACCAUCAAUGGUCACAUAUUGCCCCCUACCCAAUUGAAAAAUAAAAGCCCUUUUUCUGUGUACGAACCAAACUUUUGAAAUAAAGAACAAUUAUGACAAACCGAAAGUUGAACAUACAGGGCUCCAGCAUCAAAAUGGAGAAUCAACUUCAAAUAGCUCCAGAGUGCCAGCUUCAAAUUAAAAAAAAAAAAAAGUAAGCCCCACUCCUGUGUUUGACCAAAACCUUUGGAAUUGAUGUCACUUAUGUUUGACCUCAAGACAAACAAAAAUGGGUUCAAUGUCAAAAUUGAGGUCCUUCAAGAAAUAACUACAUAGCACCCCCUUCAUAAUUUCAAAAUGAAACCCCUGCUUCUUUGAGUGACUCAGACCAAUGGACUAACAGACACUUAUCUUGGAUCCAACUGAAAAUGGCACGACUGCGUUCUCUACAACAUUUCUAAAUGAAAGCCCUGCUCUGGUGCGCGUCCAAAACCUGUGGAAUUAGUGACACUGAAGUUGAACCUUAACACGAACAAAAACAGUUUGAAUAUCAAAAUGGAGAUCCAUCAAAACAUGGCUCUAUGGCGCCACCUUCAAAUUUCUUCAGUGUGAACCACGCUCCUGUGUUUGACCGAAACCUAUGAAAUUGAUGACACUUAUGUUUGACCUCAAGAUGAACAAAAAGGGUUUAACUGUCAUAAUGGAUGUCCAUCAUAAAAAGGCCCCAUAGCGCCCCCUUCAAAAUUUCAAAACGUAAACCCGCUCCUGCGGUCCAGACAAGUGGAUUCAAUGACACUUAUCUUGAACCCCAAGAGGAAAAGAAAUGGUUGCCAAUGUAAAAAUUGGGGACCCAUCAAAAAAUUCCUUCAUUUCUCCCUCUACAAAAUUUCAAAAUGUAAGUUCAGCUCCUGUGUUUGACCUAAACCGAGGGAUUCAAUGACACCUACGUUGGACUCAAAGUUAAACAAAAGUUUUCCACUGUCAAAAUGGAUUUCCAACAAAAAUGUGGUCAUAGCGCCCUCUACAAAAAUUUCAGGACUCAGUGCUGUAUUUGAAGUCUGGUGUAUACCCUGUCAAUAGGAAUGGAGCCAGGACCGUCCGUUGUGGAACCCCUGUACUUCUCAAUAAGGCCCAGAAACACAGUUCCCCAGCGUGAAGAACUGUGUGAUUCCUGUCAGGCAAUUUGUGAUCCAGGAAACACAGGUAGGAUCCACGCCCAUCUCUGUGGGCUUGUCUUUUAGUAUGAUCGGUUGGAUGGUGUUGAACGUUAUGGUGACCUGUUGUUAUGAUGACCUGUCAGUUCAUUGACCUAUUGUUAUAAGUGGUAUCAUAAAAAAAUAAGACCAUCUCAAGAAGAGAGACUGAUUUUUAUUAGAAAACAUAACCUGAAACUGGAUAUCUCUUGCAGGGUUUUAUAGUCUUGAAUAUGUAAAGGAUUCGUAAUAUCAUUGACUUUGAAACCAUUUAAGUUUUUUUUGUAGGAUCAGAUUAACAAAAAACAACUGGCACUCUCAUGAUCACUUCUAAUUGUACAGGAAAAAGUGAAAUAUUGCAAAAAGUAUAAAUGGUAGAAAGGUGAAAAGUUCACCCCACUAGAUGGUGCUGUCAUACCAUAAUCAAAAAUUACUAUGGUUACAUUCUGACUGUAAACUUCUUUUGAGUACUUCCACAUUCCACGGGGAGGUUGUAAUACAUACAUUUUUAGGCAUUUGUCUAUCCGAAGCACCUCGACUGAUCAUUUUUCCUUGUAAUGCACAUAAGACAUACAAUUUUAGCAAUUUUUUUUUAUUUUUACCUUCAUCCAAGUAUUUUAGCUUCAGCUCUGUAAUAUUUUCUACAUUUUUAUGUGGGGAAGUCACUGAAGCACACCACUAGAUGGUGCUGUUUUUCCAUUAUUACAAAUGAGUCUCAUCACCCUGUGAUGAAGAAAAUGUCAAGAUGGAGAACCAACCAUCAAUGGUCACAUAUUGCCCCCUACCCAAUUGAAAAAUAAAAGCCCUUUUUCUGUGUACGAACCAAACUUUUGAAAUAAAGAACAAUUAUGACAAACCGAAAGUUGAACAUACAGGGCUCCAGCAUCAAAAUGGAGAAUCAACUUCAAAUAGCUCCAGAGUGCCAGCUUCAAAUUAAAAAAAAAAAAAAAGUAAGCCCCACUCCUGUGUUUGACCAAAACCUUUGGAAUUGAUGUCACUUAUGUUUGACCUCAAGACAAACAAAAAUGGGUUCAAUGUCAAAAUUGAGGUCCUUCAAGAAAUAGCUACAUAGCACCCCCUUCAUAAUUUCAAAAUGAAACCCCUGCUUCUUUGAGUGACUCAGACCAAUGGACUAACAGACACUUAUCUUGGAUCCAACUGAAAAUGGCACGACUGCGUUCUCUACAACAUUUCUAAAUGAAAGCCCUGCUCUGGUGCGCGUCCAAAACCUGUGGAAUUAGUGACACUGAAGUUGAACCUUAACACGAACAAAAACAGUUUGAAUAUCAAAAUGGAGAUCCAUCAAAACAUGGCUCUAUGGCGCCACCUUCAAAUUUCUUCAGUGUGAACCACGCUCCUGUGUUUGACCGAAACCUAUGAAAUUGAUGACACUUAUGUUUGACCUCAAGAUGAACAAAAAGGGUUUAACUGUCAUAAUGGAUGUCCAUCAUAAAAAGGCCCCAUAGCGCCCCCUUCAAAAUUUCAAAACGUAAACCCGCUCCUGCGGUCCAGACAAGUGGAUUCAAUGACACUUAUCUUGAACCCCAAGAGGAAAAGAAAUGGGUGCCAAUGUAAAAAUUGGGGACCCAUCAAAAAAUUCCUUCAUUUCUCCCUCUACAAAAUUUCAAAAUGUAAGUUCAGCUCCUGUGUUUGACCUAAACCGAGGGAUUCAAUGACACCUACGUUGGACUCAAAGUUAAACAAAAAGUUUUCCACUGUCAAAAUGGAUUUCCAACAAAAAUGUGGUCAUAGCGCCCUCUACAAAAAUUUCAGGACUCAGUGCUGUAUUUGAAGUCUGGUGUAUACCCUGUCAAUAGGAAUGGAGCCAGGACCGUCCGUUGUGGAACCCCUGUACUUCUCAAUAAGGCCCAGAAACACAGUUCCCCAGCGUGAAGAACUGUGUGAUUCCUGUCAGGCAAUUUGUGAUCCAGGAAACACAGGUAGGAUCCACGCCCAUCUCUGUGGGCUUGUCUUUUAGUAUGAUCGGUUGGAUGGUGUUGAACGUUAUGGUGACCUGUUGUUAUGAUGACCUGUCAGUUCAUUGACCUAUUGUUAUAAGUGGUAUCAUAAAAAAAUAAGACCAUCUUAAGAAGAGAGACUGAUUUUUAUUAGAAAACAUAACCUGAAACUGGAUAUCUCUUGCAGGGUUUUAUAGUCUUGAAUAUGUAAAGGAUUCGUAAUAUCAUUGACUUUGAAACCAUUUAAGUUUUUUUUGUAGGAUCAGAUUAACAAAAAACAACUGGCACUCUCAUGAUCACUUCUAAUUGUACAGGAAAAAGUGAAAUAUUGCAAAAAGUAUAAAUGGUAGAAAGGUGAAAAGUUCACCCCACUAGAUGGUGCUGUCAUACCAUAAUCAAAAAUUACUAUGGUUACAUUCUGACUGUAAACUUCUUUUGAGUACUUCCACAUUCCACGGGGAGGUUGUAAUACAUACAUUUUUAGGCAUUUGUCUAUCCGAAGCACCUCGACUGAUCAUUUUUCCUUGUAAUGCACAUAAGACAUACAAUUUUAGCAAUUUUUUUUUUAUUUUUACCUUCAUCCAAGUAUUUUAGCUUCAGCUCUGUAAUAUUUUCUACAUUUUUAUGUGGGGAAGUCACUGAAGCACACCACUAGAUGGUGCUGUUUUUCCAUUAUUACAAAUGAGUCUCAUCACCCUGUGAUGAAGAAAAUGUCAAGAUGGAGAACCAACCAUCAAUGGUCACAUAUUGCCCCCUACCCAAUUGAAAAAUAAAAGCCCUUUUUCUGUGUACGAACCAAACUUUUGAAAUAAAGAACAAUUAUGACAAACCGAAAGUUGAACAUACAGGGCUCCAGCAUCAAAAUGGAGAAUCAACUUCAAAUAGCUCCAGAGUGCCAGCUUCAAAUUUAAAAAAAAAAAAAGUAAGCCCCACUCCUGUGUUUGACCAAAACCUUUGGAAUUGAUGUCACUUAUGUUUGACCUCAAGACAAACAAAAAUGGGUUCAAUGUCAAAAUUGAGGUCCUUCAAGAAAUAACUACAUAGCACCCC